rnacentral:lncRNA from 1 species
CUUAGAUAAUACUUUGUUUUACUAUAGUUACUUAUGUAUGUUUGUCCCCUUUAUUAGAAGGAAAGCUCUUGGGGGACAGAGAUUGCAAUAGAUUCAUCACUAGAUGUCAUUCAACCCCAGGGCUAUAAACCUAAUAGAUGUGCAGUGAUUACCUUCCCUGUGGGCCAUGAAUCCUGCAUGGAUGGAUGGAUGAAUGAAUGAAUGAAUGAAUGGCUUCUCCCAGAAAGCUUUGCUGAGUGUUACAAAGGAAUGAGUUUAGUUGGGUGUGACUCAUUUCUGGUGGACCCACGUCAGCUGCCAGAGACCAGAGACCACUGUUUUUCCUCUAACUGGUCACAAGCCAUCUGUUUAAUAAUCAAUUCUAAAAAAUUUCAGGAAUUUGGCCUUGUAAAAUUUGCUCUCUUAAACAGUGACCUAUCUGUGUUUCUCCAGCUUUCCUCUUAACGCAUCAUGAUUUGACUAACAGCCCCAGAAUAUCACUGCGAUCAUGUGUCCAAGAUUGCUCGGUACCAGGAAGCACACGGCUUCAGAAUUCCUGAGCUCAUGGACACUGUGCUAAUCCACAUAGGUGCUGUGGAAUAGCUGUUCACUGUUCUUCAGACAAGACAGAUCAGCUUAGCAGGGCAGACUUUGCAGAGUCUCCUGUUUUCUUGCUGUCCUGGGGACAGAACUCAGAGCCUCACCCAUGCUAGGCGAGUGCUCUGCCACUAAGCCACACCCCAAGCCCAAGUCUCUAAACUUUCACAACUUUACAUUCCUCUCAAUAAAAAUACUUUUGAGCACGUAUCUUCAACAUAUGGAUAUUUAUUUAUAAAUCAUCUACCUGUACUACUGUGCCAAUGUGCUAUAUAAAUUAUAAAACAUAUGUAAAACAGAAACUAAAAGGAUGAGAUUGUUUUCAUCUAGACAAAUAGAAGUCCUUUUCCUUCCUCCUGCCUGUGCUUGCCUCCAAUCCAGGUACAGGGACUCACUGUGGUGGCCAUGAAUGCAGUGAGGACGAUGAGUCAAUCUCCUGCAGCCCAGGAGGGAGCCUCCUCAGACCCCAGAGCUACUUCACAGCUGUGUGCCACCUGCCAUGAGACCUGCCCGGGAUAUCAUGACAGGAGCAGAGGAGUUAUUUCCCACGUGAACUUGGAAAUGAGCCUUCCCAGAGAAGGCAGGUGUGGGCUGGCAGACACCAGCCAUUCUCUGUGUCCGGAGAACAAGCAGUCACAACCAGGCUCAGCCCCAAGACUACUUCACGGUGCACAGCUGCAGACUUUGGACCCAUCCGCCAAUGAUGGACCACAGGUGAUCCCCUCCUCAGAACUCCUACCCAGAGGGGUGGUGUCUUAGGAGCGCUCAACUCAUGAAAAGGGGUGUGCAGUCCUUGGAUGAGCAAUCUUCCCAGUACUUUCCAUGUCCCAUCUACCAGCUGCUCCACUCCCCACGCUUCCCUUCCUGUCUACACAAUCACCCUGUCCUUCUAGCCAGGGUUCUCUGCUCUGUCCCUAUAUGUCACUGUCCGUGACACUAUAGGGUGCGAGCCACUCUUCCCUCACGGGUGAAUUAGAAUAGAAAGCCCAGAGCUAUUCACCCUGCCCACUUCACCCUGCCUGCAACUCCUGGCAAAUCUCAAAGACAGCCUGUGCUUCCCACUCCUCAGCCAACACCCUGCCCACCCUCGGUCCCACAGCCUGGUCCCCUUCCUCCCAGCUGCAGCCUCCUGAACCCCGGCAAGGCGUCCCCUGCGCAUCCCACAUCUGCUCCACACAGUCCACAUCCCACUCUGAGCAAGGGAUGGUGCUGUCUCUUCCGGUAGGAUGGGUCAUUUCAUUGUAAAUAGUUAGAAAAUACCAAAAGGUAAACAGAAGAAACUAAAGUCACCCAAUGAUAAAUGUUAUUGAUAUUGGGGCACAUUUCUAAAUCUUUUUCUCUUUGAAUCUGAACACUACAGUCUGAAUACUUCCAAUUUCUUCAAGAGGAUCAAGGAUCAUUUGAAAGCCAUGUCAUUCUUAUCCUUGCUUCUGUGUCUCCAUGCACACUGUUCUGCCCCCGGACUCCUCCCCUAUCCUCCCCCACACUCCACUAUCCAGCCGCACCUUCCCUUAGCUAUAACUCCCUGCCAUGCAGAGCGUGGCCUAAGCGUCCUAGUCUAUUAAUUUUGUUCCUGUCAAUAGGUUCAGCUUUUGUUACACAGAUUGCAUAAUUCAAUGCUUGAUAUAUUUUCUCUUUUCUAAUAAUUUCCAGAAUUCAUCUUGUGUUCCUGGUAAUGACAUAAACCCCUAAAGAUCAGCAGCCACAUAUCACACAUAGUAGGCCCUCAACAAACAUGAGGAUUUUCAGAUUAUGUCACAGUGUUUGGAUUCCACUGCUCCUUCUACCCUCUGUUGUUUCUAUGCAACUGUGGGAGAUCUCACCUAUGCCAGGAACCAGGAAUCAGUACCAUCCAAGAGUGGGGGGAUCAUUAAAGUCUGUCUUAGAAAAGCCUGGGGUUCACAUCUUGCUAUUUUCAUAAUUCAGCCCUUCCUCCUCUUGUGUUCACGAGCUAUUUCCCUUACCAAGGUUGCUCUCUGAGAGGCACUCACAGAGGGCAGGGCCAUCCUGGUCCUUUUGGGGAGGGGGUCUAUCAAGGUCACCCUCAGGCCUGAAUGAGGUCAACUUCAAAGAAGAAGUAACAGAGGAAAACUAGCUUCAUAACUUUAAUUUGACAAAAUGGCCUUUAAAAGAAAAUUUAGGUUAGACAGGAUUAGAACUUAAUCACACUCAUUUUCUAACAGUAAAGUAAUAAAAAAGCAUCUUUCUCAUCCCAUUUUACAGGGGCUAUUCCUUCUACUCCUACACAAAUGCUGUCUCUGUCUCCCCACCUCUACCUGAGCAAGACAAAGUGACCCACACACUUUUUGCAACUCAUCUACUAUUAAUAGCAGACUAAGAUCAUUCUUGAGUUAUCUAUCAGCCUCCAUUACCUCCUGCUUAAUGUAUAAUUCGUAUUAAAGGCUAGUGCCAGAGGAGAGGAGCAGCAGGAUGCUCAUGGUACUCUCUAGUCCUUCCCUGGUCCUUUCCCAUCCCCACCUACACUUGCUUAGCUGAGUGAUUCUGAAAAAUCCUCUGCCUCACUGGCACAGGCAUCUUGGUCUACUGCUGGCUCAGGAGCUCCAUUCUACGGAAACACCCUUUUCCAUCUUCACCCUCUCCACACACCAAGCUUUAAAGUGCUCCAAACAUCCAGAGGUGUCUGGUGGGGUGGAGAGAAUUACAGAUUCUUAUGGCCACCAGCCUCUACUUCUUGUCUCAAAUGCAUCCCAGAUGCAAGAAGCACGCUGCCUGGCAGCCACCUCCUCUGGGCCACAUUUCCUUCUGGGCAUUGCCACCACCGCCAGAGGAAGCAGAUCCAGCUCCACACCCCAGCACCUGUGUGUACUCCUCAGCAGUGCUUCUCUUCCAAGGCCUUUUGUGUCCUUGAAAUAGUGGCACUAAAAUGUUCCCGAUUGCAGCUGUUCACUGGAUUAUUCUAGUUCACACUGCAAUGACGGGCUGUGGAAGCGGGCACUUGAGACAAAAAUAGGCAUUAUUUAUGGUGCUUGCUUCUUGGUCUUUACAUCUUUGGGGGAGGGCAACUACUUUUUGUUUGCCAAUGUUCCGUGAUAGGCCAGUGAAGCCAGUGUGAAAGGACAUUUGCUGACAGUGCACACACAGAGGGGGAAGGCAGGGCCUGGUGGUCUGUGCCUCCCCCCUGAAGCAUCCUGGAAGCCACCAACAAGGAUGGGUCCUGGAAAAGCCACUCUUGAGCACCAGUGCCCAGGCUACGGCCCUCCCUUCCUGGGCCCAGAGCAGAGCCUACAGACCAACUGGCCUCUCCCCCAGCCUCCUCUGUCUGCAAAAUAAAGCCCACCCUAUAUGACAAUUAGGGGUGCUGGCCAGAGUUCCCUGCUCACUGCAUAGCCACGGCUGUCACCAUUUUCCCCUCCCGGUUGCCUUGGAUGAGGCCACUGUUUGCACAUGAGGGGCCUUUGUGGACAUGCUCUCCAGAGCCUGUGAGUCAGUUUUCAGAGGCUUCUUCACAAGGCUGCAAAGGAAAACCUCAAUUUUGGCAUUUCCUUGAAAAAAAUACCCGAGGUUUCUUCUUGCAGCUUGAUAUUAGCUUGUGUUGUUAGAACGAUACCCAAGAGCUGGGCAGCCAUUCCUGCCUUAGUGAUGUUUCUGAGUGCUGUGAACCAUCACUCCACCCCAGGAGGGGUCAGCAAGACUCCCCGUUUGCAGAUGCUGAAACUGAGGCUCAGAGGAUCAAGUGCUAUUUGCUCAUCACUACAGAAGCAGGAGAGGAGGUGGAUUUGUCCCCAGACGACCUGACCCUGACUCCUAGUCCCCACAAGAUGCUCUGGUUUCUCCCAGUCUAACUCACUCUAUAAGAUCAGUUAUUUCAGUUCCCUAGGAUAGAGAAAGCCAUCUUCUAAUACUUAGAUGCUCCUUUCGAUUCUCUGUGUGAAGUACUCUAGGAGAUCUCACUAUUUAAUAGAUUGUUAUCCCUGCACUGCCUUUUC